rnacentral:rRNA from 1 species
AGUGAACGCUGGCGGUAGGCCUAACACAUGCAAGUCGGACGGCAGCACAGUAAGAGCUUGCUCUUACGGGUGGCGAGUGGCGGACGGGUGAGGAAUACAUCGGAAUCUACUUUUUCGUGGGGGGUAACGUAGGGAAACUUACGCUAAUACCGCAUACGACCUACGGGUGAAAGCAGGGGAUCUUCGGACCUUGCGCGAUUGAAUGAGCCGAUGUCGGAUUAGCUAGUUGGCGGGGUAAAGGCCCACCAAGGCGACGAUCCGUAGCUGGUCUGAGAGGAUGAUCGGCCACACUGGAACUGAGACACGGUCCAGACUCCUACGGGAGGCAGCAGUGGGGAAUAUUGGACAAUAGGCGCAAGCCUGAUCCAGCCAUACCGCGUGGGUGAAGAAGGCCUUCGGGUUGUAAAGCCCUUUUGUUGGGAAAGAAAAGCAGCAGGUUAAGACCCCGCUAUUCUGACGGUACCCAAUGAAUAAGCACCGGCUAACUUCGUG